CGUCAGCUCGUGUCGUGAGAUGUUGGGUUAAGUCCCGCAACGAGCGCAACCCUUGUCGUUAGUUACUACCAUUAAGUUGAGGACUCUAGCGAGACUGCCUGGGUUAACCAGGAGGAAGGUGGGGAUGACGUCAAAUCAUCAUGCCCCUUAUGUGUAGGGCUACACACGUGCUACAAUGGCUGGUACAGAGAGAUGCAAUACCGCGAGGUGGAGCCAAACUUAAAAACCAGUCUCAGUUCGGAUUGUAGGCUGAAACUCGCCUACAUGAAGCUGGAGUUACUAGUAAUCGCGAAUCAGAAUGUCGCGGUGAAUACGUUCCCGGGUCUUGUACACACCGCCCGUCACACCAUGAGAGUUGGCAAUACCCGAAGUCCGUGAGCUAACCGCAAGGAGGCAGCGGCCGAAGGUAGGGUCAGCGAUUGGGGUGAAGUCGUAACAAGGUAGCCGUAGGAGAACCUGCGGCUGGAUCACCUCCUUUCUAAGGAA
rnacentral:rRNA from 1 species